rnacentral:tRNA from 1 species
GCCUCGGUGGUUUAAAGGCUUAGGACGCUCGUACGGAAUACAGAAAGAUCCGGGUUCGACUCCCGGCCGAGGUA